rnacentral:rRNA from 1 species
UACGAAGGGGGCUAGCGUUGCUCGGAAUUACUGGGCGUAAAGGGCGCGUAGGCGGACAGUUAAGUCAGAGGUGAAAGCCCAGGGCUCAACCCUGGAAUUGCCUUUGAUACUGGCUGUCUUGAGUAUGGGAGAGGUGAGUGGAAUUCCCGGUGUAGCGGUGGAAUGCGUAGAUAUCGGGAAGAACACCGGUGGCGAAGGCGGCUUGCUGGGCCGUAGCUGACGCUGAGGCGCGAAAGCGUGGGGAGCAAACAGG